rnacentral:rRNA from 1 species
AGCUCCAAUAGCGUAUAUUAAAGUUGUUGCGGUUAAAAAGCUCGUAGUUGGAUUUCUGCCAAGGACAACCAAUCGGCCUUUACUGGCUUGCAUUAGGUUCGACCGAGGCAUCCUCUUGGAAUACGCUUUGCACUUAAUUGGGCAUUGUGGAGUCCAGGACUUUUACUUUGAGGAAAUUAGAGUGUUUAAAGCAGGCAAUCGCCGUGAAUACUUUAGCAUGGAAUAAUACGAUAGGACUUCGGUUCUAUUUUGUUGGUUUCUAGAACUGAAGUAAUGAUUAAUAGGGACAGUCGGGGGCAUUCGUAUUUAACAGUCAGAGGUGAAAUUCUUGGAUUUGUUAAGGACGAACUACUGCGAAAGCAUUUGCCAAGGAUGUUUUCAUUGAUCAAGAACGAAAGUA